AAUAGAUACCCGGGUAGUCCUAGCUGUAAACCGAUGAACACUAGGCGUAGUCGGUAUCGACCCCGGCUGUGCCGUAGCUAACGCAUUAAGUGUUCCGCCUGGGGAGUACGGCCGCAAGGCUAAAACUCAAAGGAAUUGACGGGGGGCCCGCACAAGCAGCGGAGCGUGUGGUUUAAUUCGUCGCAACGCGAAGAACCUUACCAGGGCUUGACAUGUGGCGGAAAACGGCGGAAACGUCGUCCUCCCGCAAGGGACCGUCAUGCAGGUGUUGCAUGGCUGUCGUCAGCUCGUGUCGUGAGAUGUUGGGUUAAGUCCCGCAACGAGCGCAACCCCCGUGGCAUGUUGUAUCUCUCAUGCCAGACUGCCGAGAGAAACUCGGAGGAAGGUGGGGAUGACGCCAAGUCAGCAUGGCCCUUACGUCCUGGGCUACACACACGCUACAAUGGCCGGUACAACGGGUUGCCAAACCGCGAGGUGGAGCUAAUCCCUUAAACGCCGGUCUCAGUUCGGAUUGCAGGCUGCACUCGCCUGCA
rnacentral:rRNA from 1 species